GACAGAGGUCCCGAGCGUUAGGCGGAAUCACUGGGCUUAAAGCGUGUGUAGGCGGAUCGUUAAGUGCCUUGUGAAAUCCCCAAUGGCUUAACCAUGGAACUGCUUGGCAUACUGGCGGUCUUGAGCCACUUAGGGGCAACCGGAACAAAUGGUGGAGCGGUGAAAUGCGUAGAUAUCAUUUGGAACGCCAAUGGUGAAAACAGGUUGCUGGGAGUGUGCUGACGCUGAGACACGAAAGCCAGGGGAGCAAACAGG
rnacentral:rRNA from 1 species